GCGCUCUAAGUAAAGAGUUUCUAACAGAAAUGGUUUCUGAAAUAGAAAACAAACUGUUUGUGGGCAGUGCAGACAAGAAGGGCAAAAAUCCUCUGUACUGCCUUAACAGCCUGGAUACUAACUACUUCCGGAUGGCUGGAGAAGUUAUGGUAGCGAGUAUGGCUCAAGGCGGACCCCUCCCAAACUUCAUGCGUGAAUGGUGCUACAGAUACCUCUGCUCUGGUGAUUCAGACAGCAUCCAGGUGUCAACUAAUGAUGUCACAGAUUCAGAACUGUUCCACCUUAUAACAGAGGUAAGGAAGGUUUUAAAAUCCAGCUAAACACUGUACUAUGUUUUUUGCUAAAAAAAAAGUCCUCUGAACAGAUUCUUCUUUGUAGAAAAAAUUCAUCUCUUCUGUAAGAGACCUCUUCAGGCAAGAGAGUUACCAGUAAAGUCAGCCUUAUAAGCAGUACUUUUGCAACAAGUUAAUGAUGGAAAUCAAAACUGGUUAGUCACGUGCUGAUCGUUCAAGUCUUAUUCCUGGCCUGUUGUCCUCAGAGGGCUGAUUCAUGCUCACAAUAACGGCAUUGGAAGGGAGACAACUGGACCCAGCGACCUCCAUGAUCCAAUCAAUCAGUCAUUGGGCAGAGGGUAUCUUUUGCAUGUGACUACCUGUAACAAUUUCCAUUGCUAAUUUGGAGCAAAAGUACUGCUUAACAGGCUGAGUUUACAGGUGACUCUUAGACUGAAGAAGUCUCUUGGAGAAGGGAGAUGUAUGUACAUGAGCCUGACCGCCCAGACACACACACAGAUGAAACU